GAAAUGCGAUAAGUAAUGUGAAUUGCAGAAUUCGGUGAAUCAUCGAAUCUUUGAACGCACAUUGCGCCCGCCAGUAUUCUGGCGGGCAUGCCUGUUCGAGCGUCAUUUCAACCAUCAAGCCCCCGGCUUGUGUUGGGGACCUGCGGCUGCCCGCAGGCCCUGAAAAACAGUGGCGGGCUCGCUGUCACACCGAGUGUAGUAGCAUACAUUCUCGCUCAGGGCGUGCUGCGGGUUCCGGCCGUUAAACGACCUUCAUAACCCAAGGUUGACCUCGGAUCAGGUAGGAAGACCCGCUGAACUUAAGC
rnacentral:misc_RNA from 1 species